UACAGAGGGUGCGAACGUUGUUCGGAAUCACUGGGCAUAAAGCGCUCGUAGGCGGCACCGCAAGUGUGGGGUGAAAUCCCACGGCUUACCCGUGGAACUGCCUGGCAGACUGCGGUGCUAGAGGUUGGUAGGGGAGAGCGGAACUCUUGGUGGAGCGGUGAAAUGCGUAGAUAUCAAGAGGAACACCGGUGGCGAAGGCGGCUCUCUGGUCCAAUCCUGACGCUGAGGAGCGAAAGCUAGGGGAGCAAACGGG
rnacentral:rRNA from 1 species